CGAAAUAUUCCUACAAUACAUAUAACCAUUUCUCAUUAAAUAAAGUACUAUAUCGACAAGACAAGUAAUUAGAUUGUAGUUUAUUUAUUAAUUCAUUGAAAAUAGUGACACAAAGCUAUAGCAUAAAAGAUACUUUUGCUUUUUUAUAAAGAAAUAUGGUUUUCUUGACCAAUAAAUUAAAUCCAAAUUUCGAUCAAAUACAUUCCCAUUUAAAUUACAUUGAAAAUUAAAAAUGAUGCAUCACUUUGUACCAAAAAAAAAAAAAAAUGAUGCAUCACUCCAUAUUACAUGUAUCAUAAGCAAAACUGUAUAUGUAUUUAGUCCAAAUUUUGAUUAAAUGCACUACUUCUUUUACGUAUAUUUUAUUUCAAUUGAUCAUUAGAAAAUUCUGUAAAAAUGGAAAUUAAUUUGACUUUAUCAAAUGUUUCACACUUGAGUUCUCAAUCAUGCUUGCCAAUUCUUCUCUCUAAAAGCCAAAGGAUAUACUAAUUUGAAAUACACCUGCACGAACGCGUUCUCACAUAUUUUUGUUGUUACCAUCACCUACUAAUUUCAUUGACUUUGUUUAUGGAAAACAUUAACUCAUUCAAUUAAAAACCACAAUGCAUCAAGUUUUAAUAUACAAAAUGACAUGAACAAAAACCAAAAGGUAUAGAAAACACACCAUCCACGAAAUAAGAAUAUAAUUUAAAACUUUAAGCCAGGCUGUCUUAAUGCAUUUGAGAAAUUAAGAAAUCUUAUAAUUCAAGCUUGGGCAACACUAUAUAAAGAGUUGGAAUGCAAACAUAAGCAAUCACAGUAACUAGCUAUCACUCUUCCAAGGAACUGAGUACAGAAAUACACAUUCUUAAAAAAGAUGGGAACCUCAUUUGGGUUGAGGCAUUUGCCUCAACUCAUCUACGCAAUAGCAUUUUGCGUAAUUGCAAGCAGUGUCGCUGCUGAUGAUUAUAAGCCUUACUAUGGCGGCCAACCAAACAACAACUAUCCGCAACCAACACCACCAAGUCAUGGACAACAGCCACCAUAUUAUNCCUUCACCUCCCCCACCAUAUGUCUAUAAGAGUCCACCACCACCCUCUCCAUCACCACCACCUCCAUAUGUCUACAAGUCUCCUCCUCCACCAUCACCCUCACCUCCCCCACCAUAUGUUUACAAGUCACCACCACCUCCAUCCCCUUCACCUCCUCCUCCAUAUGUCUACAAGUCACCACCACCACCAUCCCCAUCUCCACCACCUCCAUAUAUUUACAAGUCCCCACCACCACCAUCCCCAUCACCCCCUCCACCAUAUAUAUACAAGUCUCCUCCUCCACCAUCACCCUCCCCUCCCCCACCAUAUGUAUAUAAAUCACCACCACCCCCAUCUCCAUCCCCCCCUCCACCAUAUGUCUACAAGUCACCACCUCCACCAUCCCCAUCUCCACCACCUCCAUAUGUCUACAAAUCUCCACCCCCACCAUCACCUUCACC
rnacentral:lncRNA from 1 species